rnacentral:rRNA from 1 species
UGGGGAAUAUUGCACAAUGGGCGCAAGCCUGAUGCAGCCAUGCCGCGUAUGUGAAGAAGGCCUUCGGGUUGUAAAGCACUUUCAGCGAGGAGGAAGGUGGUGAGCUUAAUACGCUCAUCAAUUGACGUUACUCGCAGAAGAAGCACCGGCUAACUCCGUGCCAGCAGCCGCGGUAAUACGGAGGGUGCAAGCGUUAAUCGGAAUUACUGGGCGUAAAGCGCACGCAGGCGGUUUGUUAAGUCAGAUGUGAAAUCCCCGGGCUCAACCUGGGAACUGCAUUUGAAACUGGCAAGCUAGAGUCUCGUAGAGGGGGGUAGAAUUCCAGGUGUAGCGGUGAAAUGCGUAGAGAUCUGGAGGAAUACCGGUGGCGAAGGCGGCCCCCUGGACGAAGACUGACGCUCAGGUGCGAAAGCGUGGGGCAGCAAACAGGAUUAGAUACCCUGGUAGUCCACGCUGUAAACGAUGUCGAUUUGGAGGUUGUGCCCUUGAGGCGUGGCUUCCGGAGCUAACGCGUUAAAUCGACCGCCUGGGGAGUACGGCCGCAAGGUUAAAACUU